AUUGAACGCUGGCGGCAUGCCUAACACAUGCAAGUCGAACGGCAGCACGGCAGUAGCAAUACUGUGGGUGGCGAGUGGCGGACGGGUGAGGAAUACGUCGGAAUCUGCCCAGUCGUGGGGGAUAACUAGCCGAAAGGUUAGCUAAUACCGCAUACGACCGAGAGGUGAAAGCGGGGGACCGCAAGGCCUCGCGCGAUUGGAUGAGCCGACGUCGGAUUAGCUAGUUGGAGGGUAAAGGCCCACCAAGGCGACGAUCCGUAGCUGGUCUGAGAGGAUGAUCAGCCACACUGGAACUGAGACACGGUCCAGACUCCUACGGGAGGCAGCAGUGGGGAAUAUUGGACAAUGGGCGCAAGCCUGAUCCAGCAAUGCCGCGUGUGUGAAGAAGGCCU
rnacentral:rRNA from 1 species